GGGUCAGUAGUGCAGUGGGUUAGAGCAUGCGCUCUCGGAUAGAAUGAGAUGCGUGUUCAAGUCCCGUCUGACACG